AUUGAACGCUGGCGGCAGGCCUAACACAUGCAAGUCGAACGAGUGGCGGACGGGUGAGUAAUGUCUGGGAAACUGCCUGAUGGAGGGGGAUACCUACUGGAAACGGUAGCUAAUACCGCCUACCAUCGGCUGUGCCCAGAUGGGAUUAGCGAGUAGGUGGGGUAAAGGCUAACCUAGUCGAAGAUCCCUAGCGGGGCUGAGAGGAUUACCAGCAACCAUGGAACUGAGACACGGUCCAGACUCCAACGGGAGGCAGCAGUGGGGAAUUUUGGACAAUGGGGGAAACCCUGAUCCAGCCAUCCCGCGUGUAUGAUGAAGGCCUUCGGGUUGUAAAGUACUUUUGGCAGAGAAGCGGUAUCUGCAGAAUAAGCACCGGCUAACUACGUGCCAGCCGCCGCGGUAAUAC
rnacentral:rRNA from 1 species